UGUUGGCGGGGAUCACGGAGAUGUAUUAGAAAACCAUGAUGGAUCUUAUAGGUGUUUAAUGCUUUGGGAAAUGCAGCCACUAAAGAUGGAGAUAUUCUUGCCAUUCCCUUUACUGUGUAAUAAUUCAUAUAAUCGUAAGGAAUGGAAUUGAAGAUUGAAAAGGACAUGUGACCUAUGUAGGAUUCAUCUGUGACACAAAAGAAUUUUUCAGGUAAACAAAAUCUCACUGACCAAGGCUAACAUAUGAAAUCAUUCAAUUCAAUUAGUGCAUUGGUAAAUACAAUGCUAUUUUAUACAUUUAGGCUAUGUUUGGGGUAAAUGCAAUAAAUGGCAAUCUACUUGAAAAGUAUGAUGCUAUUGUUAGGAAGAGUGGAAUAUAUUUUCAAAUAAAAUAAAGUUGUAAAAAGUGUUUAUAAUUCACAGUUUAGAUAAAUGCUUUAAUGGUCCAUGUUUGAACAAAAGUAACAUAAAUGAUCCCUGAAUAAGAAAAUUAACAAAAAUGGUAUCUAUUUAACUUUUGUAAUAGACAUAGGUCUUUUCAUGCAGGGACCGUUUAAAAAACAUAACCUAUUCACUACCAAAGACAUAACCGACUUUUUGUUGUAUCUCAAUGCAUAUAUGACUUUCUUAUCUUGAAUUCUUGUUCUUAAUAAUAAUAAUAAUAAUACACUAUUCUAACUUCUUUGCAAUAACUGUAACUAAAAUUUCAACACAUGAAAAUUGAUCCUUCAAUUUUGGAGAUAGAUUGUGAUGUCAUCAUAGAAAAAGGUAUAUUUAGAAAAACACAUAGAACUAAAGUACACAACUAUAUUAAAUUGAUAUAUAAACAUGAAAAAAAAUACAUAUAAAAUGAAAGUGUACUGCUAUUUUAGAAAAUUGGUCCCUAUCGCAGAAAAAAAUAACAUAACUGCUCCAUGUGGCAUAAAAAAUAACAUAACUGGUCCUGUCGCAUAAAAAAAAUAACAUAAUUGGACCUUGUCUAUUCUUUGAAUGGUAAUAAAGUUGCAUAACCAUUUGUUUUUUAUAAGCUGUAAAAAUGUCAUAUAUUGAGACAAAAGCAGCAAUGUACUUUAGAUUCUUGUUAACUGCAUGUAUGAAAAAAAAAUCAUGUAAAAAUGUCAUUUUUUGGGACCAAAGCAACAAUGUACUUUAGAUUUAUGUUAAGUUGCAUGUUUGAAAAAGAAUUAAAAAUCACAUAAAACUAAAGUACACUGUUGUUUAAUGGAUGUCUAAACAUUUUUUUUUGGAUUCCGGUUAAGUUGCAUUUAUUAAAAAGAAAAAAUACACAUAAAAGUAAAGUACACUGCUAAAUUAUAUAAACAUGAAAAAAAAAUGUAUAUAAAAUGAAAGUAUACUUCUAUUUUACGAAACUGGUCCCUUUGGAAGAAUAAAAUAACAUAACUAGUCCCUUUGGCAGAAAAAAUAACAUAACUGGUCCUGUGGCAUAAAAAAACACAUGAAACUACAGUACAAUGCUAUAAUGGAUGUGUAAACUUUCUUUCUAAACUCCAUAGUAGUACCAGAAACAAAUAAACAUACAACAUAUACAAAUAUAAAUCACACCAUACACACAUACCACUUAUGCAUUUAACAAAUGUACAUUGGUAUUUCUUGAAUAUAACACUCCAAAAAGCCAUUUACUUGGUGUAUUUUGAUCUAAACAGAGGCUGUUUAUGUUAAUAGUUUGUAAAUAGGGAAAAAAGAAAUCCAAAACAUAUACACACAUCAUACACACAUACCACUUAUGCAUUUUACAUACUUUUGAUUCAUACAACCAAAAGAGGAAUAAAAUAUACUAAGAACAUGGGGAAUAAAAGAAGAAGAGUGAAGAAGUUAAGAGGCUAAGCUGAUGUAUCGAGGUUAUGUGCUGCAGAAUUAUGAUUAGAUAUACGAUGGAAAAAAUAAUGUUCGAAAACGCCGACAUAAUUACAAUAGUGAGUGGUUAACUUGAAAUACAAAUAUUGUAAUAUUCGUAUCUCUAAAUAAAAAAAGAGUAAAUUACUAGAAUAGUCUAUUUGGUUUAAUAUAGUUUACAUGUUUGGGCUUUAACUUUUUGUUUUAACUUAGAUCGUUCGUAAGGUCUGGUUUUGUUUUGUUUUUUUUUGUCUCUGAUUUAAAAUGACCAAUAUAUUUUUCUUGAUUAUUUUAAUUAUUUCAUUUAUUUUUAACCUUUUGAAGUAAUUCAAAAGUAGUUUAAUAAAUAUGAGUCCCGCACACCUUUUUUUGCGUCCAUCUUUGUCUCUUUUUCUCAUUCCAGUUUUAAGAAACCUACACAGCAGACCUAAAACUUUUGGUAUCCUUCCCCACCACCAACACCGGACCAGACUUCAAACUUUUGAAAAAAAAAAACGGAAUAUAAAAAUAGUUACAAUUAAAAAAAAAAAAGUUAAUUACCCCCCCCCCCCCCCCCCCCCCUACUCGUUUUUGCUCGUCGAGAUUGAAGCUGGUUGGCGUUGCGACCGGAUGAAACGCACAAAAUUUAAACGUUUUCAAACGUUUAAAUGGCAACGGUAUAAAAAAAAAAUUAACUAUUAAAAAAAAUCAUUUACACUAUAAAUACCUAUCAUUUUAUAAAAACUUUCACACAAUUUCUCUUCUCCUCUCUACAUACUUUCAAUUAUAUUAAAAAAAAAUAUGGACCCUUUCGACUCGUCCGAUGAUUCAGAUGACGAUAUUUUCUUCAUGAUGUAUCAUUAUUACACUACCGACCUGCUACAACCAGACCCAGCUCCGCUACUAACAAGACGUGCGGUGUUAAAUAGAAAUCGCGAGGAAGGACACGAACAUCUAUAUCGUGUUUACUUUGCGGAUAAUUGUGUGUACGGGUCAAAGGACUUCAAAAGAAGAUCUCGUUUGAGUAGGAAUAUAUUCCUACGGAUCACCAACGCCUUGGAAAACCGAUAUCGCUUCUUUACUAUACUUUUAUACAAAAUAAAUAAAAAUCUAGUAUAUGUUUCUUUAAUUUUACAACAUAUGCAAUAGAUUUUUAAACUGUAGUUAAUUUAUGUUUAGGUAUGAAUUUUUUCAAUUAAGAUAUGAUGCUAGAGGUAGACGAGGGUUUACAACGUUGCAGAAAUGUGUUGCGGCCAUUCGUUUGAUGGCUAUGGGGGAGUCACCCGACACCAUGGACGCCUAUAUGAGAAUGUCCGAAAGAACUACAAGGGAGAGUUUGUAUACAUUGUCAAUGGGUGUUGUUGAAACAUUUGGAGACGUGUUUUGUGGAAACCUUCGUUGCAUGAUUUGCAAGAAUUGUAUGCGGUGCAUGAAGAACGCCAUGGGUUUCCUGUAAUAAUCGGAAGCAUUGAUUGCACACACUGGAAAUGGAAAAAUUGUCUGGAAGCACAGAAAGGGCAAUACGCAAGUGGUCAUCACAUAUCACCUUCGUUGGUUUUAGAGGCUGUUGCUUCUCAAGAUUUAUGGAUUUGACAUGCAUUUUUUUGGGGUUGCGGGUUCCAACAACGACGUCAACGUUCUUGAUCAAUCGCCAAUAUUCGACGAUCUUUUGAAUGGAAAGGCCCCGGAUGCUCCUUUCACGAUGAAUGGAAACGAAUACAAAUAUGGAUAUUACCUUACAGAUGAAAUAUAUCCUCAGUAUUCUACAUCCGUGAAGGCAUUCCGCCACCCGGUUGAAGAAUGAGACAAUUUUUUAAGAGAAGACAAGAAGGAGCACAUAAGGAUGUGGAACAUGCUUUUAGAGUGCUGAAGGCGAAGUGACAUAUAGUUGAACAUGCAGCACGACCAUUGGAUUUAGAAACUCUAUGACAUAUCAUGUAUGCAUGUAUCAUAAUGCAUAACAUGGUAGUAGAUAAAUGACGAAAUAUAGCACAUUAUAUCCCAACGGAGCCCAUACACGUUCAGUUUCAACCAGAAACAACAUAGUAUUUACAUCAAGUUGUUGACAUUCAGGACGCAAAUAAACAUAGACAACUUCGAGAGGACUUGGCAGAUUAUAUCUUCUAUGGUAACAAUAACAAUAACGAAUAUCGCUGUAUUUUUUUUGGAAUUUGGAUGUUAUGUAUAGUUUAAUUUCUAUGUUAAUUUUAAUCUUUAAAAAUUGUUUUUAUUGUA